UUGCAAUGAUGACCUUCUUAGGACACCUUUGGAUUAUACAUGAAAACAAAGCUACAGAUCUGAGUGAC